CGCCUGGGGAGUACGGCCGCAAGGUUAAAACUCAAAUGAAUUGACGGGGGCCCGCACAAGCGGUGGAGCAUGUGGUUUAAUUCGACGCAACGCGAAGAACCUUACCUGGCCUUGACAUCCAGAGAGCUUUCCAGAGAUGGAUUGGUGCCUUCGGGAACUCUGAGACAGGUGCUGCAUGGCCGUCGUCAGCUCGUGUCGUGAGAUGUUGGGUUAAGUCCCGUAACGAGCGCAACCCCUAUCCCUGGUUGCUAGCAGGUAAUGCUGAGAACUCCAGGGAGACUGCCGGUGACAAACCGGAGGAAGGUGGGGAUGACGUCAGGUCAUCAUGGCCCUUACGGCCAGGGCUACACACGUGCUACGAUGGCGCGUACAGAGGGCUGCCAACUCGCGAGAGUGAGCCAAUCCCUUAAAACGCGUCGUAGUCCGGAUCGGAGUCUGCAACUCGACUCCGUGAAGUCGGAAUCGCUAGUAAUCGCGAAUCAGAAUGUCGCGGUGAAUACGUUCCCGGGCCUUGUACACACCGCCCGUCACACCAUGGGAGUGGAUUGCACCAGAAGUAGUUAGUCUAACCUUCGGGAGGACGAUUACCACAGUGUGGUUCAUGACUGGGGGUGAAGUCGUAACAAGGUAACCGUA
rnacentral:rRNA from 1 species